GUCUUUUUGAAUUAAAUUUAAAGUCUAACCUGCCCACUGAGAAUUUUUAAAUGGCCGCAGUAUUUUAACUGUGCAAAGGUAGCAUAAUCAUUAGUCUUUUAAUUGAGGGCUGGAAUGAAUGGUUGGACGAGAUAUUAACUGUUUCAUUUAAAUUUUUUAUAGAAUUUUAUUUUUUAGUCAAAAAGCUAAAAUAAAAUUAAAAGACGAGAAGACCCUAUAAAUCUUUAUAUUUUAUUUUAUUUUAAUUAUAAAGAUUAAUUUUAUUAUAAUAAAAUAAAAUAUUUUAUUGGGGUGAUAUUAAAAUUUAAAGAACUUUUAAUUUAAAAAACCAUUGAUUUAUGAAUAAUUGAUCCAUUAGUAGUGAUUAAAAAUUUAAGUUACUUUAGGGAUAACAGCGUAAUUUUUUUGGAGAGUUCAUAUCGAUAAAAAAGAUUGCGACCUCGAUGUUGGAUUAAGAUAUAAUUUUGGGUGUAGCCGUUCAAAUUUUAAGUCUGUUCGACUUUUAAAUUCUU
rnacentral:rRNA from 1 species